ensembl:snRNA U6 U6 spliceosomal RNA
GUGCUCACUUUGGCAGCAUAUACGCUAAAGCUGGAAUGAUACAGAGAAGAUUAGCAUGGCCCCAGUGCGAGGAUGACAUGCAAAUUCAUGAAGCAUCCCAUAUUUUC